rnacentral:rRNA from 1 species
UGGGGAAUUUUGGACAAUGGGCGAAAGCCUGAUCCAGCAAUGCCGCGUGAGUGAAGAAGGCCUUCGGGUUGUAAAGCUCUUUUGUCAGGGAAGAAACGGUGAGGGCUAAUAUCCCUUGCUAAUGACGGUACCUGAAGAAUAAGCACCGGCUAACUACGUGCCAGCAGCCGCGGUAAUACGUAGGGUGCAAGCGUUAAUCGGAAUUACUGGGCGUAAAGCGUGCGCAGGCGGUCUUGUAAGUCUGAUGUGAAAUCCCCGGGCUCAACCUGGGAAUUGCAUUGGAGACUGCAAGGCUAGAAUCUGGCAGAGGGGGGUAGAAUUCCACGUGUAGCAGUGAAAUGCGUAGAUAUGUGGAGGAACACCGAUGGCGAAGGCAGCCCCCUGGGUCAAGAUUGACGCUCAUGCACGAAAGCGUGGGGAGCAAACA